rnacentral:rRNA from 1 species
AGAGUUUGAUCAUGGCUCAGGAUGAACGCUAGCGGCAGGCUUAAUACAUGCAAGUCGAGGGGCAGCACAGGUAGCAAUACUGGGUGGCGACCGGCAAACGGGUGCGGAACACGUACGCAACCUUCCUUUAAGCGGGGAAUAGCCCAGGGAAACUUGGAUUAAUACCCCAUAAGAUUAUGGUGUGGCAUCACACAGUAAUUAAAGCUACGGCACUUAAAGAUGGGCGUGCGGCUGAUUAGGUAGUUGGCGGGGUAACGGCCCACCAAGCCAACGAUCAGUAACUGGUGUGAGAGCACGACCAGUCACACGGGCACUGAGACACGGGCCCGACUCCUACGGGAGGCAGCAGUAAGGAAUAUUGGUCAAUGGACGCAAGUCUGAACCAGCCAUGCCGCGUGGAGGAUGAAGGCCCUCUGGGUUGUAAACUUCUUUUAUCUGGGAAGAAACCCAUCUUUUCUAAGGUGGUUGACGGUACCAGUUGAAUAAGCACCGGCUAACUCCGUGCCAGCAGCCGCGGUAAUACGGAGGGUGCAAGCGUUAUCCGGAUUCACUGGGUUUAAAGGGUGCGUAGGUGGGCAGGUAAGUCAGUGGUGAAAUCUCCGGGCUUAACCCGGAAACUGCCGUUGAUACUAUCUGUCUUGAAUGUAGUGGAGGUGAGCGGAAUAUGUCAUGUAGCGGUGAAAUGCUUAGAUAUGACAUAGAACACCCAUUGCGAAGGCAGCUCGCUACACUAUUAUUGACACUGAGGCACGAAAGCGUGGGGAUCAAACAGGAUUAGAUACCCUAGUAGUCC